UGCAGGCACCAGGACGGCUUCCAGCAUAUGAGCCUCUUCUCAGGAAAACCUAGAAGACCCCAAGUACUGACCCAUUGACACAAAGGUGUAUAAUGCUGCUCAUUAAAAUCUGGCUGGUAUUCAUUAAAUGGCUUUCAGUUCCUUCAAACACUGGUAUUCCAAAUAACUACUAGAAUGGGUUUGCUGUCUAUGUACAGAUAUAGAAAAGUACAAGAUUUAGUAAGUGAAACAAAUCAAGAUGAAAGGCAAGGUGAUCCCAAUAUAAACACACAUUUAUACACAUGGGUUGUAAAGGCAUUAUCUUAAAGAGGGGGAAUAGGAGGAUGUACACAAAAACUAACAAUGAUAUAUCUGAUGAGGACGGCGGAAUUGGAGGGACACGACAAACUCCUUCACUGUGGCUAAGCCCCCUAUGUCUAACCUAUCUGCAGGUCAGUCUGUUUUUAGGCGCCUGAGAGGACAGGACACACACAGGCCAGAAAACUCCAUGAGGCCCCCAGGACUAGCCUGGGCUCCAUCCAAAGCUUAAAUGGGUUCAAGUGCUCUCCUGUCUUCCUCUGCCCCUGAGCACCUCAAGGCCAUGAUCAGAUGGAUUCGGGUGACCACUGCAUAAGCAGUGCCCCUUUCUGCCUGAUCGCAGCCUCUGAAGACCCAGCUGGACAUGGUGAGGCCCUGGUCCCCCUCAGAGGCACAGCCCCUGGGGUCACUGCGGAGUGCACUGGGAAUGUGUAGGGAGGGAUGCACUUCAACCUAUAACACCAACCACAAGCCAGUGAUUGGCUGCAGGAUUCCCCUUAGGAGGGGACAUAAUCUUGGUCAAGUCUCUUCCCUAUGGCCAAAGACAAUUCCCAAUGGAUGACAGCAGUGACCCAGCAGCAGCCAAUAUUCCCAAGAGAUGUGGGAUGAGUCACCAGCUAUGAAGAAAGGCUCCACUACAUCUGCAAAUUCACUGCAGCCCAACUGUUUAUGCCACUCAUAUCUACUUGCUUCCCAUAGUAAAUGUUCACCAUUUAAAAAUAAUGAUUCUGGUUGGUCUUGUCUCCUGGGAAAACUUAGAAGGGUUGUGUCUUUGCUACUGUGAAUGGUGCUGCAAUAAACAUACAUAUGCAUGUGUCUUUAUGAUGGAAUGAU
rnacentral:lncRNA from 1 species